rnacentral:tRNA from 2 species
GCUGGCGUAGCUCAACGGUAGAGCACCUGUCUUGUAAACAGGGGGUUGCGGGUUCGAAUCCCUUCGCCAGCU